CUAUGAUAUCCUGUGUGUUUUUUUUUUUUUUUUUGGCGGGUUGGGGGGGGGGCAUAUCAUACUGUGAGAAAGCUGCCAGUUCAGUCUGUAACACUAAUAUGAGCUGCAGAGUGGAGUGAAGCCUUCUUUCCCCACCUCCCACCAUCAGCCUGAAAUAGAACGGUAUGGUUGUGCUGGACAGCUCCUAAAUGCAACUCGGGCCAACAGAGCGUACAGGCAGAAACUCUGCCUGUACAAAUAAAUAAGCAGUGCUGUUCCCACAUUCUUCCCCCUUUUUUAUAUUCAUUUAUAUUCUUUUAAGUCAGUGUGGUCUCUGUUCAGCAGCGCUUCACACAAUGGACCUACAGCAGCACCUUUUGUAGGCUGUAAGUCGACCUGUGUGUAACCACGGUGAGGCCUUCAUUUUAAACCUGUAUCAUCUUAUAACACGUGUUAGGAGAGCCGCCGUCUCCCUGCUGACACCACACUGCCUCACGUAGGGAGGAGGGGGUCGUACCGCCUUAUCUCCAGCCUCAGCUGCAUGAUCGGGCUCAGCUGGAACCGGUUUUCACAUGACAUUUCCACCACUGUUACACCAUCAUUCCUCACCAUGUAAUCCUUCCAAAGCAUGUUUGUUCUGGGUACUGUGACUAGAUAAAGUUGGACCAGAGGGAAAACCCUUAGACAGCAUUACAAGGUGUUUUUUCCACGGUGGGUCAGUGUGUUUGAGGGUGCUGCUGACUGGAUAGGACACACAGGCUUGAGUCAGUCAUGUGAACCAGAGCUGUCUGCAGUGGAGACUUCCAAACACACAUCAAAGUCAGGGGAAACUGGAAUAAUUCACUCGAUUGCACACCACCAUCACCAUAGACGGCAGAUUUCCAGCAGCUUUGUUCAGCACAGCCUGGCCUGACAAAUUCAGCCCAAGAGCAGAAAUCUCUGUGACCCCGAAACCCAGGCCCAGAUGACUCUUGCUGCUGUUGCUGUCAGAGCAGACACAUCAACAAUACGUGCCAGGAAAGUUCUGCAAAACUUAAACAUAUGGGGAAAACCAGGCCUUUACAGAUAAUGCCCUUUAAUCAAAGGAUUAAGAUCUGUGUGGCUCAGACACAAGAUGGCAUUUCAGGAGAGGAACCUGGUCUGGGUCACAGCACAGGAUAUUAAAAAUGGCUUGAAAGCUAAGGUCUAACCUGAUGUGGACCUUGUAAAAGGAUAAUGAUCCUAAACACUUUCAUCAGAGAACAAAU
rnacentral:lncRNA from 1 species